GGAGUCCAAACGAACGAACGAGAUGUGGAUUGAUAAGAGUAAUAAUUAUUGAAUAUGUAAAUGCAAAGGGUAGCGAAUUAUGGAGUAGAGUUCCGCAAUUGUAUUCCAACUGGGUUGUAAAUGAACAAAUAGAGUAUAGACAUUUAUUAUUUGGAUUGUACUUUGGAUAUAAUCGUGAAAUAAAUUAUUGGGCCUGAAUCCACAAUUGUGAGUAGAAUGCGAGUUUUAAAUAGUACAGGCUUACUACGGGCUUCGGGGACCUUAACCCUACCCAGGUCCUAGUGCCGGUCGGCCCAUGGAAAUGGGUCGUGACACUGAUAUAAUGAAAAACUGAUGCCUAGGUUUGG
rnacentral:lncRNA from 1 species